ACGACGGCAGCGCUGUCGCACUCCGAAACAAAAAAGGUAUAUUACCUUAGAAUGCCAGUCGUUCUUACUUCAGUCUUCGUACAGUCUUUGCUUUAACCCGUUCCAAUUCUGUCCGCCGUUCGUACGCUCGCUCGCUCGUUCGCUCUAUAGAAGUCAUAUGUAGUAUAAAAGCAACAACAACAACAAGAACUGGCACAAUAAUAACAACAGCAACAACAAACACACCUGGCUAUAGAAUAACACGCACGCCGUUCAGUCGCUUCUCAGAGCUGAGUUUGAGUUGAGUUCUAGAGCUCUUGGCUAUCAUCAUCAACAGAGUAGCCGUAGUCAGUAGUAGCCGCAUCGCCGCCGAGCCGCCGCCGCUGUCGUCGUCGCCGUCGCCGCUGUCGCCGUCGCCGUCGCAGCCAGCACACACAUCACAAACCAACCACCACUACCAACACCAACACUACCACCAACGCAAACCCCCAUAACAGCAGCAACAACAAUAACAGAAGCAGAAGCAGCAGCAACACACACACAACCACACGCGCGUUCGCUCACUCACGAAAAUUUCAAUAUCCAAAUCAAAGUUGAGUUCAAAUCGAAAACAGCCGCAAUACCAGCAACAACGUCUCGCAAAUAGCACGCGUACAUUAAAAAACACACGCAGCAUAUCAAAUAGUCAAAAAAAAUCGCCAAAUCGCCAAGUUCGGAAUAAAUAAAUAAAUCUUCAAACAACUUAAAAAAAAUAAAAAAUCUAAAUAACAAUAAAAUCCGCAAACUUUUUCAUACGGCUUUUCUCGACUUUUCACUUUGCGUGAGUGCUAACAAGAAAAAAAACAGAAAAAACAAAGAUCUACAAAUAUUUAAAAACUUGAACUCCCAACUCGAACUUAACUUAAAAGCUAUCAGUGUAUCGCUAUUUUGUAUCUUCUAAUACUCAACAACAACAACAGCAACAACCACAAGAUAGCCAUAAUUACAAGUAACCACACAACAACGACAACAACAACAACUACAAAACGCAUUAGCAACAUUUAAAGCGGCAAAGUUACAUAUAAUAAAAUAUAAAAAAAAAAUAGUAAAGACAAAACACAAAAAUCUAAAAGCACCAACAAAAAAUCAACAACCUUUAACAAAGAAAAAAAAAAGAAAAAAAUAAUAAAAAACAGCACUUCAUCUACUUCAACGACUUUGACUCGACAUUUAAUUGUAAACAAGCUCACCAAACACACAAGCACUUAACUCUCGACUACCCAAAACCAAAACCCGUGCAAUUCCCUCAUCAAGAAAAUACCAAAUAAAUAACAAGAAAAUACCCAAAAAAUAAUAAUAAAACGCAAGACAAAUACAACAAUUAAUAAAUAAGAACAAAUUAAGAGCAACAAAGCGAAAACGUAACGCAACUUAAAUAAAACUAAAAAAAAAAAAACAAACAAAAGUGCAGAAUAUAGAAAUUUUUCAAUCAACAUUUGUUGCCAAUAAAACUGUCAUCAUUGCCGCGUUAACAGAAACCACGGCGUCAGCAGCGAUUGCAGCGCUCAGUAUCAGCAGCAGCUCUCAAGCGUCGCUUGCCAGCGCCAACGCCGCCCCGCCGACAGUCGGAACCACCACCGCCGCUGCAGCCGCCGCCGCCACCGCCGCUGCCGUCGUCACAACUGUUGCAACAGCCGCAGCAACUCCGUCACCGCCGUUAACGGUAAAAAGCGAAAUCGUUGCAUCUGAUUCAACAGCCGAGUCCUCCCCUAUACAAGAUUUAAUCAUGCAAAUGCAACUGUUGCAAGCAGCGCCGCCAACGCAUCCGCAUCAUUUGCACCUGCAGCAUCCAGCCGCUGCUGCGA